UACGAAGGGGGGCUAGCGUUGCUCGGAAUUAUUGGGCGUAAAGAGCUCGUAGGCGGCUUGUCACGUCGGAUGUGAAAGCCCGAGGCUUAACCUCGGGUCUGCAUUCGAUACGGGCUAGCUAGAGUGUGGUAGGGGAGAUCGGAAUUCCUGGUGUAGCGGUGAAAUGCGCAGAUAUCAGGAGGAACACCGGUGGCGAAGGCGGAUCUCUGGGCCAUUACUGACGCUGAGGAGCGAAAGCGUGGGGAGCGAACAGG
rnacentral:rRNA from 1 species